rnacentral:rRNA from 1 species
CCUACGGGAGGCAGCAGUGGGGAAUUUUGGACAAUGGGCGCAAGCCUGAUCCAGCAAUGCCGCGUGAGUGAAGAAGGCCUUCGGGUUGUAAAGCUCUUUUGUCAGGGAAGAAACGGUCUUGGUUAAUACCUGGGGCUAAUGACGGUACCUGAAGAAUAAGCACCGGCUAACUACGUGCCAGCAGCCGCGGUAAUACGUAGGGUGCAAGCGUUAAUCGGAAUUACUGGGCGUAAAGCGUGCGCAGGCGGUUAUACAAGACAGAUGUGAAAUCCCCGGGCUCAACCUGGGAAUUGCAUUUGUGACUGUAUGGCUAGAGUGUGUCAGAGGGGGGUAGAAUUCCACGUGUAGCAGUGAAAUGCGUAGAUAUGUGGAGGAAUACCGAUGGCGAAGGCAGCCCCCUGGGAUAACACUGACGCUCAUGCACGAAAGCGUGGGGAGCAAACAGGAUUAGAUACCCUGGUAGUCCACGCCCUAAACGAUGUCUACUAGUUGUCGGGUCUUAAUUGACUUGGUAACGCAGCUACGACGUGAGUAGACCGCCGUCGGGAGGUACGGUCGCGAGAGUAAACGUAACAAGUAGAGUUAGUACGGCGUGAGACGUAGCCGACGGACGACGACGAGGGAGGAGG